rnacentral:rRNA from 1 species
AGUGAACGCUGGCGGUAGGCCUAACACAUGCAAGUCGAACGGCAGCACAGUACUAGCUUGCUCUUACGGGUGGCGAGUGGCGGACGGUUGAUGAAUACAUCGGAAUCUACUUUUUCUUGGGGGAUAACGUAGGGAAACUUACGCUAAUACCGCAUACGACCUACGGGUGAAAGCAGGGGAUCUUCGGACCUUGCGCGAUUGAAUGAGCCGAUGUCGGAUUAGUUAGUUGGCGGGGUAAAGGCCCACCAAGGCGACGAUCCGUAGCUGGUCUGAGAGGAUGAUCAGCCACACUGGAACUGAGACACGGUCCAGACUCCUACGGGAGGCAGCAGUGGGGAAUAUUGGACAAUGGGCGAAAGCCUGAUCCAGCCAUACCGCGUGGGUGAAGAAGGUCUUCGGGUUGUAAAGCACUUUUGUUGGGAAAGAAAAGCAGCAGGUUAAUACCCCGCUGUUCUGACGGUACCAAAAGAAUAAGCACCGGCUAACUUCGUG